rnacentral:rRNA from 1 species
AGUGAACGCUGGCGGUAGGCCUAACACAUGCAAGUCGAACGGCAGCACAGUAAGAGCUUGCUCUUACGGGUGGCGAGUGGCGGACGGGUGAGGAAUACAUCGGAAUCUACUUUUUCGUGGGGGAUAACGUAGGGAAACUUACGCUAAUACCGCAUACGACCUACGGGUGAAAGCAGGGGAUCUUCGGACCUUGCGCGAUUGAAUGAGCCAAUGUCGGAUUAGCUAGUUGGCGGGGUAAAGGCCCGCCAAGGCGACGAUCCGUAGCUGGUCUGAGAGGAUGAUCAGCCACACUGGAACUGAGACACGGUCCAGACUCCUACGGGAGGCAGCAGUGGGGAAUAUUGGACAAUGGGCGCAAGCCUGAUCCAGCCAUACCGCGUGGGUGAAGAAGGCCUUCGGGUUGUAAAGCCCUUUUGUUGGGAAAGAAAAGCAGCAGGUUAAUACCCCGCUGUUCUGACGGUACCCAAAGAAUAAGCACCGGCUAACUUCGUG